rnacentral:piRNA from 1 species
UGAAUAGCAGUGGUGUUAGGGUCAA